GACGAAGGGGGCAAGCGUUGUUCGGAUUUACUGGGCGUACAGGGCGCGUAGGCGGUUGGAUAAGCCCUCCGUGAAAUCUCCAGGCUUAACCUGGAAAGUGCAGAGGGGACUGUUCAGCUAGAGGAUGGGAGAGGAGCGCGGAAUUCCCGGUGUAGCGGUGAAAUGCGUAGAGAUCGGGAGGAAGGCCGGUGGCGAAGGCGGCGCUCUGGAACAUUUCUGACGCUGAGGCUCGAAAGCGUGGGGAGCAAACAGG
rnacentral:rRNA from 1 species